AUUGAACGCUGGCGGCAGGCCUAACACAUGCAAGUAGAACGAGUGGCGGACGGGUGAGUAAUGUCUGGGAAACUGACUGAUGGAGGGGGAUAACUACUGGAAACGGUAGCUAAUACCGCAUACCAUCAGAUGUGCCCAGAUGGGAUUAGCUUGUUGGUGGGGUAACGGCUCACCAAGGCGAAGAUCCCUUUCUGGACUGAGAGGAUGACCAGCCACACUGAAACUGAGACUCGGUCCAGACUCCUACGGGAUGCAGGAGUGGGGAAUAUUGCACAAUGGGGGCAAGCCUGAUGCAGCCAUGCCGCGUGUAUGAAGAAGGCCUUCGGGUUGUAAAGUACUUUCAGCGGGGAGGCGUUACCCGCAGAAGAAGCACCGUCUAACUCCGUGCCAGCAGCCGCGGUAAUAC
rnacentral:rRNA from 1 species